rnacentral:rRNA from 1 species
GGCAGCAGUGGGGGAUAUUGCACAAUGGGGGGAACCCUGAUGCAGCGACGCCGCGUGGGUGACGAAGCGCCUCGGCGCGUAAAGCCCUGUCAGCAGGGAAGAAAAUGACGGUACCUGAAGAAGAAGCCCCGGCUAACUACGUGCCAGCAGCCGCGGUAAUACGUAGGGGGCAAGCGUUAUCCGGAUUUACUGGGUGUAAAGGGGGCGCAGACGGCGAUGCAAGCCAGGAGUGAAAGCCCGGGGCCCAACCCCGGGACUGCUCUUGGAACUGCGUGGCUGGAGUGCAGGAGGGGCAGGCGGAAUUC